rnacentral:rRNA from 1 species
GACGAACGCUGGCGGCGUGCUUAACACAUGCAAGUCGAACGGAAAGGCCCUGCUUUUGUGGGGUGCUCGAGUGGCGAACGGGUGAGUAACACGUGAGUAACCUGCCCUUGACUUUGGGAUAACUUCAGGAAACUGGGGCUAAUACCGGAUAGGAGCUCCUGCUGCAUGGUGGGGGUUGGAGAGUUUCGGCGGUUGGGGAUGGACUCGCGGCUUAUCAGCUUGUUGGUGGGGUAGUGGCUUACCAAGGCUUUGACGGGUAGCCGGCCUGAGAGGGUGACCGGCCACAUUGGGACUGCGAUACGGCCCAGACUCCUACGGGAGGCAGCAGUGGGGAAUAUUGCGCAAUGGGCGGAAGCCUGAUGCAGCAACGCCGCGUGCGGGAUGACGGCCUUCGGGUUGUAAACCGCUUUCGCCUGUGACGAAGCGUGAGUGACGGUAAUGGGUAAAGAAGCACCGGCUAACUACGUG